AACCUCCGCAAUGUGAGAAAUCGCGACGGGGGGAUCCCAAGUGCCAUUCUUAACGGGAUGGCCUUUCAUUAGUGUAAAGAGCUUUUGGAAUAAGAGCUGGGCAAGACCGGUGCCAGCCGCCGCGGUAACACCGGCAGCUCUAGUGGUAACAAUUUUUAUUGGGCCUAAAGCGUCCGUAGCCGGUUUAAUAAGUCUCUGGUGAAAUCCUGCAGCUUAACUGUGGGAAUUGCUGGAGAUACUAUUAGACUUGAGACCGGGAGAGGUUAGAGGUACUCCCAGGGUAGAGGUGAAAUUCUGUAAUCCUGGGAGGACCGCCUGUUGCGAAGGCGUCUAACUGGAACGGUUCUGACGGUGAGGGACGAAAGUUAGGGGCGCGAACCGGAUUAGAUACCCGGGUAGUCCUAACUGUAAACGAUGCGGACUUGGUGUUGGGGUGGCUUUGAGCUGCUUCAGUGCCGAAGGGAAGCUGUUAAGUCCGCCGCCUGGGAAGUACGGUCGCAAGACUGAAACUUAAAGGAAGU
rnacentral:rRNA from 1 species